UACAGAGGUCCCAAGCGUUGUUCGGAUUCACUGGGCGUAAAGGGUGCGUAGGUGGUCGGGUAAGUCUGAGGUGAAAUCUCCGAGCUCAACUCGGAAACUGCCUUGGAUACUAUUCGGCUUGAGGGUUGGAGGGGGGACUGGAAUUCUCGGUGUAGCAGUGAAAUGCGUAGAUAUCAAGCGGAACACCAGUGGCGAAGGCGAGUCCCUGGACAACACCUGACACUGAGGCACGAAAGCUAGGGGAGCAAACAGG
rnacentral:rRNA from 1 species